GUGGCCUGUGCUUUCGUCACUCGCCCUCGGAAAGGGAGAGAGCCGAGCUUUCGCCCUGCCGAGUUCUCACGCAGGAGGUACUUUGUAGGACUUCGCAGCGGAAGCUUCUUGGACACAGGAAGAAGACAACCUUCUAUGAACAUGGAAGAGAGCCCUCACCAAGAACCAAACCUGCUGGUGCCUUGAUCUUGGACUUCCAGCCUCCAGAACUGAAAAGGCGCCAUUAACCCUUGACGUCCAAGAAAAUACACCAAUGCAUCUAUUUCCCUGUUCCAGCCCCACUACAGUGAAUUUCAGCAACUUACAUCUUCAAAGCAUAUGCCACUAUACCCAAAUGUAGAUUAAUAAAAUGUGGCACAUACAUAGGAUGGAAGAUUAUUUCACCUUAAAAUGAAUGAAAGUCUGGUAUACA